rnacentral:rRNA from 1 species
GUGAGUAAUACUUAGGAAUCUACCUAGUAGUGGGGGAUAGCACGGGGAAACUCGUAUUAAUACCGCAUACGACCUACGGGAGAAAGGGGGCAGUUUACUGCUCUCGCUAUUAGAUGAGCCUAAGUCGGAUUAGCUAGAUGGUGGGGUAAAGGCCUACCAUGGCGACGAUCUGUAGCUGGUCUGAGAGGAUGAUCAGCCACACCGGGACUGAGACACGGCCCGGACUCCUACGGGAGGCAGCAGUGGGGAAUAUUGGACAAUGGGGGAAACCCUGAUCCAGCCAUGCCGCGUGUGUGAAGAAGGCCUUUUGGUUGUAAAGCACUUUAAGCAGUGAAGAAGACUCCGUGGUUAAUACCCACGGACGAUGACAUUAGCUGCAGAAUAAGCACCGGCUAACUCUGUGCCAGCAGCCGCGGUAAUACAGAGGGUGCAAGCGUUAAUCGGAAUUACUGGGCGUAAAGGGAGCGUAGGUGGCUCGAUAAGUCAGAUGUGAAAUCCCCGGGCUCAACCUGGGAACUGCAUCUGAUACUGUUGAGCUAGAGUAUGUGAGAGGAAGGUAGAAUUCCAGGUGUAGCGGUGAAAUGCGUAGAGAUCUGGAGGAAUACCGAUGGCGAAGGCAGCCUUCUGGCAUAAUACUGACACUGAGGCUCGAAAGCGUGGGUAGCAAACAGGAUUAGAUA